rnacentral:tRNA from 1 species
CCGUCGUUUCCGGGGUUCGCGGGGCGGUUGUUCGCCACCGAGGAUCAGGAGUUCAGCCUGGCGUUGGUGCAGGCCUACAACGACUGGC